UACGUAGGGGGCAAGCGUUGUCCGGAUUUAUUGGGCGUAAAGAGCGUGUAGGCGGCCUGAAAGGUCAGCUGUGAAAACUCGAGGCUCAACCUCGAGACGUCGGUUGAAACCAUCUGGCUAGAGUCCGGAAGAGGAGUGUGGAAUUCCCGGUGUAGCGGUGAAAUGCGUAGAGAUCCGGAGGAACACCAAAGGCGAAGGCAGUGUCCUGGGGAGUACCUGACGCUCAGGUGCGAAAGCCAGGGGAGCGAACGGG
rnacentral:rRNA from 1 species